rnacentral:rRNA from 1 species
CGGCGGACGGGUUAGUAAUGCCUAGGAAUCUGCCUGGUAGUGGGGGACAACGUUUCGAAAGGAACGCUAAUACCGCAUACGUCCUACGGGAGAAAGCAGGGGACCUUCGGGCCUUGCGCUAUCAGAUGAGCCUAGGUCGGAUUAGCUAGUUGGUGAGGUAAUGGCUCACCAAGGCGACGAUCCGUAACUGGUCUGAGAGGAUGAUCAGUCACACUGGAACUGAGACACGGUCCAGAAUCCUACGGGAGGCAGCAGAG